GACGAACGCUGGCGGCGUGCUUAACACAUGCAAGUCGAACGGAAAGGCCUGCUUUCCCUUGUGGAUUGCGGGUACUCGAGUGGCGAACGGGUGAGUAACACGUGAGUGAUCUGCCCCCAACUUGGGUAUAAGCCUGGGAAACUGGGUCUAAUUCCCGAUAGGACUGCAGGGUGGUGCCUGUGGUGGAAAACGAUUUUCUAGUGGUUGGGGAUGAGCUCGCGGCCUAUCAGCUUGUUGGUGGGGUAAUGGCCUACCAAGGCGGCGACGGGUAGCCGGCCUGGGAGGGUGGACGGCCACAUUGGGACUGGGCUAAGGCCCAGACUCCUACGGGAGGCAGCAGUGGGGAAUAUUGCACAAUGGGCGGAAGCCUGAUGCAGCGACGCCGCGUGGGGGAUGACGGCCUUCGGGUUGUAAACUCCUUUCGACCGCGAGGAAGCCACCUGGUUGGAAGGGUGGUGACGGUAGUGGUAGAAGAAGCACCGGCUAACUACGUG
rnacentral:rRNA from 1 species